GGGCCCUUAGCUCAGUUGGUUAGAGCACCUGACUCAUAAUCAGGGGGUCGCAGGAUCAUGCCCUGCAGGGCCCA
rnacentral:tRNA from 1 species